CCCUUAGAUGUUCUGGGCGGCCCGCGCACUACAAUGGCGUGUGCAGCGAGUGCCGAAGUAGAGUUUUCCGAGGUAUUCUUGCAAUGCUCGUUUUGAUGGGGAUAGACCCUUGCAACUGUUGGUUUUGAACGAGGAAUUCCUUGUAAGCAUGGUUUAUCAUCCGACGCUGAAUGCGUCCCUGCCCUUUGUACACACCGCCCGUCGCUCCUACCGAUGAGUCGUCCGGUGAAGUUCGUAGACCUCGUGAUCGCGGAUCACUGGGGGAAGCAAAAUGAACCUCGCGAUUUAGAGGAAGGAGAAGUCGUAACA
rnacentral:rRNA from 1 species